AAUAUACUCCCGCGUCGGAGGAGGCGUGGGCGUCCCCGCCCAGGCCCGGGAGACAGAGGCGCUGACCCCGGGACAGAGCCUGGCUUUGUGCGGGAGGCAGACGCGCCCCGCGCGCCGCCCCCGAAACAUUCGCACCCCAUGCUGAGGCGCGCGUCUGGGAGUCCGUGGGCGCCCCGAGAAAUGAAGUUGAAAAUAGCACAGGAGCCCACUAUCACUGUGUGAACAUUUUGUGAAUGAAGACAUGUAUGAAAGGAUGUUUGGAGGCUUCAAGAAACGAAAGCCGAGAGUCUAGCUAGACCAGAGCCAUCCAGCCCAGGAGCGAUGGCCACGUGUGGCCGCUGGACACGAGAGACGUGGCCAGUCCAAACUGUGCAGUGCGGGGCAGUGGAAGCCGUUGGAGGGCCUCAGGCAGGAACACAAGGUGUCGUGGCAGAAAGGAAGAAGGGGCCGGGCACGGUGGCCCACACCCGUCAUCCCAGCACUUUGGGAGGGAGGCCAAGGCAGGAGGAUCGCUUCAAUCCAGGAGUUCAAGAUCAGCCUGGGCAACACAGCAAGACCCCGUCUCUACUAAAACCCUAAAACUUAGCCAGGCUUGGUGGCAUGUGCCUAAGGUCCCAGGUCCUCGGGAGACUAAGGCAGGAGGAUUGCUUAAGCCCAAGAGUUUGAGGCUGCAGUGAACUAUUAUCACACCACUGCACUCAGCCUGGGUGACAGAGUGACUCUGUCUCAAAACUAAAUAAAUAAACAAUAAUUGUGUUAUUCUGUCUCCAUUUCUCGCAUACUGAAUUUAAGGUGGACUCAGCCAGCGGGUUCAGGCCCAGGGUCUGUCCUGCAGCUACAGUCAGGGUUGGUGGCUGCAGCUGUCAUGGGGGAGCGGUGAGGUUGGGGGAACAGGGGGGCUGGCCUGCAUCCCCCA
rnacentral:lncRNA from 1 species